UAUGUCAUGGAAUGAAAACAACUUGUACGUCCUCACCAGUGUCUGAGGAUGAACAGAAUGGGAGACUGGAAUUGGAAAAUCAACACUGAUUGACACGUUAUUUAAUACUAAUUUUGAAGACCAAGAAUCUUCACAUUUUUGCCCACAUGUGAAACUUAAAGCUCAGACAUACGAAUUCCAAGAAAGUAAUGUUCGAUUAAAAUUGACCAUUGUAAAUACAGUAGGAUUUGGUGACCAAAUAAAUAAAGAAGAGAGCUACCAACCAAUAGUUGACUACAUAGAUGCCCAGUUUGAGGCCUAUCUUCAAGAAGAACUGAAGAUUAAGCGUUCUCUCUUCAUCUACCAUGACUCUUGCAUCCAUGUGUGCCUCUACUUCCUCUCACCCACAGGCCACUCUCUGAAGACACUUGAUCUCCUAACCAUGAAGAACCUUGACAGCAAGGUGAACAUUAUACUAGUGAUUGCCAAAGCAGAUACAGUUUCUAAAACUGAAUUACAGAAGUUUAAGAUCAAGCUCAUGAGUGAAUUGGUCAGCAAUGGCGUCCAGAUAUACCAGUUCCUGACAGACGAUGACACUGUUGCUAGGAUCAACUGUGCAAUGAAUGGACAAUUGCCAUUUGCUGUUGUAGGAAGUAUGGAUGAGGUGAAAGUCGGAAAUAAAAUGGUCGAAGCUCGCCAGUACCCCUGGGGUGUUGUACAAGUGGGAAACGAAAACCACUGUGACUUUGUAAAGCUGCGGGAGAUGCUCAUUUGCACAAACAUGGAGGACCUGCGCGAGCAGACCCAUGCCCGGCACUACGAGCUCUACAGAUGUUGCAAGCUGGAGGAAAUGGGCUUCUCGGAUGUGGGCUCAGAGAACAAGCCUGUCAGUCUUCAGGAGACCUACGAAGCCAAAAGACAUGAAUUCCAUGGUGAACGUCAGAGGAAGGAAGAAGAAAUAAAGCAGAUGUUUGUGCAGCGAGUGAAGGAGAAAGAAGCUAUAUUGAAAGAAGCUGAAAGAGAGCUGCAGGCCAAGUUUGAGCACCUGAAGAGAAUUCACCAAGAAGAGAGAAUAAAGCUCAAAGAGAAGAAAAAACUUUUGGAUGAAGAAAUAAUCGCCUUCUCUAAAAAGAAAGCUACCUGUGAGAUAUUCCAGAACCAGUCCUUUAUGGCAACUGGUAGCAACCUGAGGAAAGACAAGGACUGCAAGAACUCUAAUUACAUGUAAAACAGCAGUUCCAAAGCACAGAAGAUCAUCAUAAGCAAAAGUUAUUAAAACACCAGAAGUGUGCUUUGA